AACGACAACCAUGACUUCUUCAUGAAGAAAUACACUCCUCGAUGUCAGAGUUCGGAUUUAAUGACAAAGAUGAAGAAGUCCUGCAGCAAUCACACGCAAUAACAAUGUAAGCUACAAACGUAAUAACAACAGUAAUUCCUACAUUCACAUAAAUGCAUACACACAUAAGCAUCUCAAGUAUCAAACAAUAACAAUUGUAUUAAUCAGGAAAGACUCACAUGAAUCAUGCCAGCAGCUCAACAUGCUAUGCAACGGGAACGUCUGCAAUGCUAACGAACACAACAAGGUAGACCGCCAACUCAGCCGGUCAGCGGUCUGCAAUACAACACUAUCCCCUAGUGGCCGGAGGUAAACUCUGCAACCGUAGUAAAUACAUUGAGUAACCGUAAAUCAAGAAACAAUACAUAACUUGAAUUCUUACAGUCGUAAUAUGUAGAUAACACAGUAUAUUUCCUGAAAAUUUAAAAAAGGGUAAAAUUCAUGGAAAAUUCCCGUAAAGUGACAAAAGAGUAAUUAUCGUAAAAUUAACGGCAUUAUUCUGCCUAAACUAAAGAUUUUUCUGAUGUUUACAUUUUAAUUUACAGUAUAGAACUGAGAAACAUUCAGCAAAAUCAUACCUUCAUUUCUACGGGAAGAAUAUGUUAAAAAAUAUGGUCCUCCAGAGGUAGGCCCUAAAUUCAAUUUAUAUAAGGAAAACCAUUUUAAUGAUUUUAAAAGCAUCUGAAAACAUCUGAUGGAUUUUAAUAGCUUUUCAAUACUGCUAUAUUUAAAAGCAUCUCAAAUUAUGGGAAUGGUUUUAAAACGAAUUAUAUCGAAACUGAUAUAAAUAAUAUGAUGUAGAAGUUUUAUUUCCCCUCGACGGUUGACAUUAACGCGCCGAGUUUUAAAUAGGCCAAUCAGCGCACUGUAUCUGACUCCUGGCUGUACUCCGAGCAUCUCCGGAGCUGGUUAACUUCGUUUCGGACUUCACCCGUUCAAAUCGACGGUCUUCAUCGGAGUGAAGUUUAAUUUCAUCAGCGACUUUUUAUGACUUUGCCUCAGCCAGAAGUUGGAGCUGUUUUUCAGUUACCUCGGUAUGUAAAUCAAGGCGUUAGUUGAAUUGUGUUUAUUCAGCUUAUCAAGAGGGUUGCAUUACAGACAGUUAACAUUGUGUUAAUGUCCCCAUAGCUGUACCUUUAGCUACAUUAGACUUUCAGAACAGCCUGGAAACGCAUGUAAUAUAUGUGCAGACGUGUUAAGGAGACAUUAGUUUGACUGCUUUUGAAAAAUGCCGUGUGGGUUUAUCCGCCUGGCGGGAUAAAGCAGGAUCCGUCUAUGUGCUGGAGCCUGCGGUUAUCUUGCGUGUGGGUUUAUCCGCCUGGCGGGAUAAAGCAGGAUCCGUCUAUGUGCGUGGUUAUCUUGCGGUGUGAGUUUACCCACCUGGCGGGCUAAAGCAGUAUCCGUCUAUGUGCUGAAGCUUAUUGUGGAUAUGACGGCGUAUUUGUCCAUCGAAGAUGUAUUCUUGUAACAUAUGUGGAGAAAACGUUCAGUCUUUAAAAGCAUAUGUUUUGCAUUGCAAACUGCACCGCAAUGAACCCCGACAUAUUUUUAAAUGUGUUGGAGCAAGUUGUAAGCAGGUGUUUUCAGGCUAUACAGCUCUAAAGUCGCACUUCUAUCGCCACCACAACAGUACAUCAACCGUUGCUCAGAAUGUGACCGUAACGCCAUUAAAAUGCACCGUCUCACUUUGUGAACGCCAGUGUGAGGGAACUAAACUGUUGGUUGCUCACUUAAAGGAGCACAUAGCAGAAGGCCGUCAUGUCGCUUGCCCAGUGAGAGGAUGCAAAAGUGUGUUCACUGGAAAAACGUCUUUUACCUCUCACAUGUCCAGAAAGCACAGACAUUGGGCAGAAAAUGUGAUUUGUGCAUCAAUCCAAGAUACACACUGUGAGACUCCCACUACAACUGCUACCAUACAGGAACCUGCCAGUGUGUUAGAUGCUGAUGACACUGUAGGGGAUGGGUCUAAUUUCUGUGACCUGUAUCUGAGAAAUAUAUGUAUGUUUUACAUGAAACUUCAGGGACAGCAUCUUCUUCCAGUGUCUACCAUUCAAAACAUUGUUGAAGAAAUACAGAAUAUACAUGAGUUGGGACAGACAUAUACUUUGAAUCGUCUAAACUUGCUUCUAAAAGAUAUGUCAGUUUCAGAUGAAGACAUUGUAAAAAUUAGUGACACAAUCAAACAAUCUGACCUGUUUACAGCUUGCCACACAGGGCCAAUGAGAACUGCUUACUCAAGAACCCAGUGCUUUAAAGACGUGUUCAAAUAUGUGGAGCCCAAAAAAAUCUUGUUGGGCAGAGAUGAGAACAGGAUAGAGAGGUGUGCCUAUUAUAUUCCUGUGCUUAAGACUUUAAAGGCUAUGCAGGAGUCCAGUUUUUGGCAGGGCCUCAUGUCAGUGGAUCAUAAUAAUGUUUCCAAAACAGAUGUUCUCUCUGACUGUUGUGAUGGUAAGGUGUUUAUGUCAAACACAUUUUUUCAGGAAAUCCCAAGUUGUCUCAAGCUGGUUUUGUACCAGGAUGCAUUCGAAGUUGUGAACCCAUUGGGAUCUGCAAAAAAGAAGCACAAGGUUUUAGCUGUGUACUUCUCUCUUCUCAACAUGCCCCCCCAUGUACGAUCAAAUGUUGACCACAUGCUGCUGGUUUUAUUGUGUAGAGAGAAGGAUUUUAAGGAAUUUGGCCAGGCCAAGGUUUUUUCUGAACUCCUUACUGAUCUGAAAGAACUGGAGGAAAAUGGGAUAACAAUGGGAGAUGAACUUGUAGUAAAGGGAGCUCUCUACUGCAUUGCUGGAGACAACCUGGGCUCUCACGCCAUUGGUGGUUUCACAGAAAAUUUCAGUUCAUCUCAGUACUUCUGCAGAUAUUGUUUGAUUUCUCGAACUGAACUUCAGGGUGCUGAUCCUAACAUCUGUGGACUGGAGCGGACUCCAGAAACGUACAGCUCUGCCAUUGAACAGCUGGAGACAGAGGAUUCUCCACAAGUACAAGGGAUAAAGUUUAGGUCACUAUUUAAUACUCUACAAAACUUUGAUGUUUGUUCACCUGGCCUGCCCCCCUGUCUCGGUCAUGACAUCUUUGAGGGUGUCCUCUCAUACGAUGUUGCUCUUUACCUCAAGUAUUCAAUCAAAAAAAAGAAAUGGUUCACCUACACAAUUUUGAACAGGCGAAUCAAGCAGUUAAAAUACAAAGCAACAGAUGCUUCCUCCAAACCUUGUGAGGUCAGUCCUCACACACUGAAACUGAGUGGACAUGCUGUCCAAAAUUGGAACUUCUUGAGACUGUUGCCUCUGAUAAUUGGAGACACAGUGCAGGACCCCGAAGAUAAUGUGUGGCAGUUACUUUUGCAGCUUAAGGACAUUGUUGACCUGAUUUGUGCUCAGCAAAUUUCCAAGGCUCAGGUUGCCUAUCUAGAUGUUCUCAUCCAAGAAUAUUUGGAAACCAGGAAGGCACUAUUUCCAGAAAUCAACUUGAGACCUAAACACCAUUUUUUGCGGCAUUAUCCAGGACUGAUCCUGAAAUUUGGCCCACUCAUGAGGGUAUGGGCUAUGCGUUUUGAGAGCAAACAUAGUUACUUCAAAAGAUGUACAAGGCAUCUGAAGAAUUUCAAAAAUCUGUGUUUGACUCUUUCAGAGAGGCAUCAAAUGUUUCAGGCCUUUCUUUCCGCUGGGUCAGUGAGUCCUCCAGCCUUGCAAAUAAAAGAUGGGUCACCAUUUUACUCAGAGCUUUACAGUGAGCAAGUUAAAGGCACAAUUCUCCAUUUUGGCUUCACUGAAAGAAAUACAAAAAAUCCUGGUGAUGUGCAGUAUAAUGGGAUAAUUUACAGAAAGGGCCAAUUUGUUGUCACUAAGAAUGAUGAUUCAGUGGAGUUUGGUGAAAUCAUCCUCAUUCUUGUGAAAGAUGAUUUUGCACUUCAUUUUCUGAUGAGAGUGUAUGAUGGGGAAUUUCUUUCACACUACCACAUGUACUGUGUAAAAAACACUGGAAGAUUAGAAUGCAGACUUGUUAGUGAACUAAUUGACAUGUGGCCUUUAUCAUAUUACAUAAACAAUGGAUACCAUAUUGUCCCAUUGAAGCACAGUCUCUUGUCACACUGAAUCAGCAGGCCAGAUUAUUUUGUCUGUCUUUACAGAUAUGGCUGAAUCACUUCAGAUAAGCAAUGCCAUAGCAGCAGUGCUUCCAGAUCUUCCUGAUCAAGUUGUCAAGUCAGUAGAAGAUGCUUUGAAGACACUUGGUGCAGUAACAACAGAUGAUUUGAAGUACAUUGCAGAGGGAGACUUGCUGCCAGUAUUAAAGCCCAUACAAGCCAGAAGACUGGUUGCUGCCUGGGCCCAAAAGGACUCAUUCACUCCAACUCCAGCCCCGGCAUGUUCCCCUCCAGUGUCUCUCCAAUCCUCUCUGUCCUCAGUCACUCCCUCACCAACAUCAUCCACAGCUACAUCAUCACCCUCAGGAAGUUAUCGACCUGCGCCAAACUGGAUAGACAAUUUUCAGAUACCAUGGCAGAAGCUCUCUGAAGAGAUAUUACAGAGUUUGGAAAGAGAGAAAAGACCAAGUCCAAAACUACGACGAGAAAUGAUAAGGAUUGUGGUCUCUGAGAUGAUCAAGAUUUGUAAGAAUCCAACCAAACACAACACCACAGAGAUAGUAAAAAGGAUGGUGGCCAGGUAUCCAAAGUCUCUUAAAGAUGUGAUUGAUGGUGAUGUUAUUGGACUUGGAUAUCAUUCCCUGGCAAAGCAACUCCAGUCAAGAGUUGAAAAUGUCAAACGACCUGACACACCAAAGAUACAGAAACGCAAAGCAGCAUCAGAUGAUGACACAGAUGAAAUAUCUGCUGAACAAAGAGCCAGUGUUCAAGACACCUAUGGCUGUGUCAACUGGAUGCCGAAACAUCUGCCACUCCCUGAGACUGUGGAGAGUCAGCUAGAAAAAAAAGAAAAAAUGAAGACAUUUGAAGAUAUGAACUACAAUUCAGAUGUUGUGAAAGACUUAAUCAAGUCCACAUAUUUCACGCAGCGUAAAGAGAUCAAUAAUGGUGCUAGUAUCCAGAAAUUAAGCCAGGAUUGGCCAUUUUUGUUUAAGGAAGUUGGUAUGGCAGCACACUUCCAGGAACUGACUGGCGUGAGUUUGAUUGUGUCCUUCCUUGCCAAUGUGGACAAAAAGGGGGCACGUCUCUUAAACUUCUUCAAACGUGUUGAUGCACAUAAACACAAACAAGUUCUGGAUGCUCUUCUUAACCCAUUUAAGCCGGGAAAGCAUUGCCGCUGUUCUACCUUUAAAGCCGGGGGCGCUGUUGCGUCAUUCUACCUUUAAG